GUUUGUUUUCUUCUGUUGUAGAUCAUAAAAACACUGUUAGAACCACACAUGCUUUGCAAACUUUGAUCCAGUAACACAGGUCACCAGUGCGGAGCGAGAGACUCCCAGCUCCUUGGAGAAAGCCAAAGCCCCUGUUGGAGCAGCCGAACUGCCUGGCAGCUGGAGUCAGACGAGGUGACGAGCCUUUGCCACAGCCCCUCCUGAUCCCGGGAUGCAAUCGGCCUUGUCCAUGCUGCGGGCAGCAGAUGGCUCCUGCACACAAAGCACAGCCAGUGUGGGACUCAUCCGCAUCGAUGCCUGGAGCCACGCAGUGAUGAGACCGGACAGAGGGAUAAGUGAGGCUGGGGCUGUCCCCUAUACACCCUCAGAGCCCUGCUCCUGGAGUGCCUGGACACUUCCAGCAUGCCAGCCAUCUGCGUCUUGGAAGCUCUCGGUGGGCCCACUUUCCUGCAUGAGGAACAGGCAGUGCACUUGCGUGCCCAGAUGCAACCAGUGCUAG
rnacentral:lncRNA from 1 species